ensembl:lncRNA
GGCCGUAGCGCGGGGAGCUCUCAUAGGGAUUGGUCUUCUCGGGGUUUCUUUACCGGCGUUGCUAUGUUUCCGGUCUUGUGUGUUCCAACGGUUUAUUAGGGACUCAGGACUACACGCAAGGCCCGGCCUGGACAUCCUGUCAUCCCCUCCCCCUCAGAGCCCCUCUCUCCCGGCAGGCCGGUCCAGAGAGCAACCAGCCCCCCCCCCCAAUGGACACCCUGCCCUAGCCUUGCCUUGGCUCGCUGUCAGCAGAGCUGACAUCAAACGCCUCCUGAAACCAGGGUUCCCCCCAUGGCAUUUGAAGUGUGGGGGACCAUUGUUUUCCAAACACCUGCUCCUGACCUCUCCCUCCGUCUCCUACGUGAAGACCCCUGGCCCACACUGAGGGAGGACGGCGAAAACCAAAACGAAGGGGCUUAUCAAGGAGACCAGCAUGUCUCUACCCUUUUGUGGAGAGGAUGACUCUGAUGGAUCCAGCUCUUUGGGGAAAAAUGGACAAGGAAGAGCUGCAAAGUGGUGGGCUCCUCGCUGUAGCUCCAUGGUCUCCCU